CUCCACCGGAUUUAUAUUAUUCUAUUCUUUGGGCUUUUAAUUCAAGAAAACAUUUAAUUUUUAUUUUUAACGUAGACGAAGAUUUAAUAUUCUUUUUAAAUGAGAGAAAGCUUAUGAGCAAAAAAAGGAAAUUGACAUCAUAUACAUAUAGGGUCAGUUGUCUUAGAUCUCUACCGCUCGCUCACGUUGACGACUGUGCAAAGAAGCGGAUGGACGGUCCGGAUGGAGAUAAUGGUGGAGGAACAGCUGAGACGGUGAUUCGAGACGCAGUCGGAGUCGGGUAGUAUUUGGAGAGGAUCCCCCAAGCACGUGAUGGCCACGUGCAUAACUGGAACGGGUAGCGCAGAGAGAGAGAGAGAGAGAGAGAGAGAGAGAGAGAUGGCGGAUGGCGAGGUCUGUUCCCAUGGCCGCUGCCUCCAUCCAAAUCGCUGUCCUCUGCCCGACUCUCUUAUCGUUCCGGUUCUCCCCCAACCCUCCGUUGGGCCUCUGCUCCGCCCCUCAUUGUACGUUUCCUCUCGCCCCCUGGGUUGCUCCCCCGGGUAUUUGUGGACUAGAUAGAUUUUGCGAAAGAGUCGGAGUCAUCAACCGUCUCAGAUGAACCUUUUGCCCAACUGGUUUUGUAAAACACCUAAAUCACAUCUCAGUUUGUACAUAGGUUGUUUUGCAAACCAUUUUAGUGGAAGCAAGCAACAUAAAUUUGAAAUUGCAUUUAUUGGUAUUUAAGGCCAUGCUGGUAUGUUGGCGCAAACAUCAAUUACAAAACCUGCAAGAACAGGAACACAGCUUUAUCUACGUGCGAUCGGAAUUGCAAUGUACUGAGUCAGAUUGAAGCCUCCAUGAAGAACCAAUACCUGUUGCAGCUCCUGCAGUGAGCGCCAUGAUGUCGCCACUGGUCUGUGCACCAACUGCAGAGUGGACGACCUUCAAGAUCUGAUCAUGGGCGGCGCCCAUCGUCUGCGCGAUCUCCACGCAGUGCGACGCCACGAGCGCCGCCGCGGAGGCAAUGGCCGCAGUGAUCUUGUUGCCACAGUUGGUUCUUGACGCAUCCGGCGAGAAGACGGCGCUGGCGACGACAGCAGCAACCGCAGCGGCGACCCCGGCGACGGAGGUCGCGGCGUAUGCUUGGGCUUUCCGUGUCCGGGCUUCUGUCCUCCUCUUCUCCUUCUGAUCCUUCAACCAUCCUCCCAUCGUCUUCCCCCUCGCCGCACCUCUAAGAAGCUGCACGUACGCGGAACAGAAGCUGGAUUACGCCUGCGGAAGAUGCAUGGUCACAGGUGUGUAGCUCACGUACCUUGAGAUCGAUGUUGUCUCUCGGAGAGAUCGGAGGGCUGACGCCGACUCCUUCGUCGGCAACUGGUAGUUUAAGCUCUACUGCUGGAUUCUGCACGGUGAAGAUACAUCAAGUCGAUCUCUAAUGCUGGUUCGACCAAGCUCGCCUUACCUCUUCUCUCGCAGCAGACAACGGCGGGUUGCUGUUCUGCCUCUCGACGCCGGUGGAAUCCGAAGGCUUCCUGUUCUCGAACAGGGUGAUGGCCUUCGAGAUCUCCACGGCGGACAGACUCCAUGACCGAGCGAGGAACUCCAUGGCCUCCGUGGGCGUCUCCGGAGGCCGCAGGGAAACCGGAAGGCAGCUCGCGGGACGCUCUUCCUCGAUGUUCUCCAGCCGCAUCGACGCACCCUUCGCGUGGUGGUGGUGAUGAUGAUGAUGCCGAUGAGAGUACGAGCACCACUCCAUGCCAGCUCACAAGCUCAAGACUGACGCACACGUAUAUAUACAGAUAACCAGAGAUCAAAGUGGUGUGGGAGACCUCUCGAGCUCCGCUCGUGCACCGGAAGUGGGUGGUGAAUCGAGCCCCAUUCCCGAUAAAGAGACGCCCAAGAGCGGCGCUCCUCAUGAUGGCUAUGCUUUGGGUGGGCUUCCACGGUUGCAUCAAAAGGAGCCACCACCCGCAGCCACACCGACGGUCAUUUCAUCAAACACCAACCAGAACCAAUCUUGCUCCAAAUGAUUCCAUCCAAGCUUGGCGCAUCUGAUGCUCUACUUGGAUCCAAAUGUCGAGUGGAAUGGGGCGGAGGCACAAUUGAAGUAUGGUUCACGACAGCUCAGUGGGAAGCCCACUAAGCGUCGUCGGUCCCAACUCAUUAUGGCGUGCAUUUUGAUGCCUAACCGAGUAGCCAUUGCAACUCUUUCGAGUCCUUCAUGGCUCCUAAAACCUACCUACUGCAAGCAUGCAAUUCUGCUCCGGAUGAAGAAGGAAAAGGUACUCUUUUUUCCCCCUUGAUUUGAUCUACUUUCCUCAUUCUUCUUCUUCUUGGUGUCAAUCUGAAUUGUGGUCGAGAGAAUCCCACCUAAGUAAAGUUUCUGCUUUCCAUGAUCACUUCAGCAAUCAGAAAAGCCAACUUUAUCGAACAACAUAAGUGUAUGUAAAGAUUUAAGGGGAGAGACGGGAGUUGUCUAUGCUAAGACUUGUGGCUAAGACAGCCAAUUCUUCUGUAUGUAUGAUCUCCAUAUGACACAGCUCCUUGGAAGUA